ensembl:lncRNA
CGUGGAGGGCUUCCGCGUGAACGGCUGUGGACCGCGGGGCCGCCAACCGCACGGGGAGGGAGCGGCUCCGCCUGUGGCCGCCAUCUUUACUAGGGGCGGCGCGGGGCGCCCCGGGCUCGUCGGGGUUUCUCACGGCGCCCUUGGGCCGGUAGAGAAAGGCUCUGCGACAAAAGCUGCCCCAGCGCAGGUGGCUACAGCACUGUGAAGUCCCAGCUCACGCGCUGUGUUAUUCUCAGGAUUUGUGGAGCUUCUAAUCCCUUUCAAGUUGAAACGUGAUGAGUAUGGUGUAGUAUACGGCGGUGUUUGGACGAGGCUGACAGUGUAAGCACUUGCCGUAACUGCUUGUCGUCGGUAUGGAGCCUUAAAGCCCGAAUGGAACAGCAGCAGCCGCUAUCAGUCACACAGACAGUGGGGGAGGUCCAGACAAACCGUUGUGGCUUCUCAGGGCCCCUUUUUUGCUGAAUAGAGAUGUUGGCUGAGAUUGCCUUCUUCCUGCUGCCUCUUGGAAGGAUUGCCAUGAGAAAUCUGUGGUGACCCAAGGACAAAAGAGCAGAUAAAACCAAGGAGGGUGUUGGAACCUCAGGAAAAACCAGACCCUUAUCGCCUUUCCCUCCCCCGUGUGUAACUACUAAGGAAACAGUAUCACCUGCCUCCCCUCCUACCCCACAGGGAGGAGGUAUCUGCCCUACUCUCCCCCCACCCAGUAUACCGGCCUCAUCGAGUCAGCAAAUGACCUGCAAGACCCCGUCCCACUCCUUGUACACUGGCUAUAAAAGUGGACCAAGGACCCCUUUCAACGUCGGUUCUCCCUUGAGCUGGCCCGCUGUUCUAACAGCGUCUCCCACUCUAAUAAACUUUAUUUCCCUCC